GAUCUCCUCGCCUGCAACAAAAUUAGACCUCACGCGGUCGGCAAUGUGCCGCUCACUACGCUACACGCGCAAAUCGUGGCCUGGCAGCUGCCGCGCCCCGCGCGCGGCGAUGCCGCCGAGGGCGCGGCGGCCGUCGUGAUGAUGUUGGGCCUCCAGCACCAGCAGCACCGAGCAAGCUCACGCUCGGCAUUGCGCCGCGGCACACGAGUCGUGGCCCGCCGCGGACGCCGGCGGCCCGGGAUGUACAUGCAGCACGGGCGCGCGCCGCUGAAGGGGAGCACGAGGAGUGCCUCGCGCUGCGUGCCGGGGAGGCGGGGGGAAAGGAGGAGGAGCAGGCGGGGACGGACGACGACCAGCUCCGUGCCUGCUCCCGCCGCCCGCGCCCGCCCCGCGCGACGGACGCGAGCGGGCCAAGGCCAUGUCACGCCCGCUCUGGCGCCCUCAACGUGUUCGACGGAUUGCCUCGCCGCGCCUGCCUGGCCGCCUUGUCGGCUCUGCGGCGCCUCGCGCGGGGACAAGGACCGGGCUCGUGUCAGAUGGCGGCAAGCGGGCGUUGCUCGACCCGGCUGCCAAGGCGGCGGCCGGAGCUCAACCGGCUGGCGCGUGGGUGUCCACAGCGUUCGUCCUACCUGAGACUUCACCGUGUCAAUUUGAAGUUAACUCCGGCACUCACCUUGAAGUGGACGCCAGACAAUUUGGCCACAGCGCUUUUGGAUUUCAUCAUUUUCUAGGAACCUAAUGGUGUAUGUUCAAAAUGCUUAAAAGUGCUGGCAACAUUCCCUAUGGGGUAUGGAGUCACAAAAGUGUUCCUUCUGCGUAUCAGCAUAGUCAAUUGGUAAUUGUCGUUAUUAUCAAACUUUGCUUCAUUGAAUUUCGCUGGUUGAAGCAAGAUGGAAAGUAUAUGCUACACCUACGAUCUUCAUUCGACACCAGUUUGAUAUUGCUUAGUUACACUUACUCCUAGUUUGAAACUCGUGAUAGAAAUGUGAGCUACUUGAGAAAACUAUACAUGACAAAACUAGGGGAAACAAGAGGAAGCUUCAAUUUGCUUUGCUUCAUUUCUUAUCUUUAGAGUUAUUACCUGUGCAGUUUAACAUGACGAUGCCCUUAUUUUGUUACGCAAGUAGUUUGUUGGAAAUUACAAAACCUUGUCAUUGGUUCUCCAGUGAUUGCAAUGGUACAUUUAUAAUGCAAUAUAUAUGCUCUAGCAUAUAUCUACUGUUGGUUCGAGAAACAAGCAUAUAUCUAACUGUUCAUAAAAAAUGUGAUUUACAUGUAACAACUUCAGAAGAUAACUUAGGAUAUACAUACAUUGAUGUCUUCCAUCUUUGUCCUUUAUUAUGCUGUAUUUACUUGUCAGGCAAUAAUAGUCAAAAUAAUUGGCUAAUCCAGUCUGAAGUUGAUUGUGGUUUGAUUAUGGUGGAUUAUUGCACAGUUUUGUGGGAGCAAUAACUCAUUGUGAGAAUGACUUACAAAUUCAGCUAGCACUUUACUACCUUAUAUGCAAGGAACUGCAAGUUCAAUUUCUUGCACCAUCAAACAAUAAGAUCUGCCGCUUGUUUGUGCAAUGCGCCACCCAGCUGAUCCAAGAUCCUGACCAUAACAAAAUGCUAUCCUGUACAUACCAGGAAUAUGUGGGAGUGCCCAGUUGAACUUAGUGUAGAAUCUGAUCUUAGCUAUGAAUACGUCAUUUCAGCCAAUGUCAUUUUCUCCUCAGAUUUUUAAGGACAGUUGUCGGACUGCGCAUAACCUCUUAAUCACGAAUAGGUACAUAUUUUAUUAUCUAAAUAAACUUUAAAGAAGUCAUGAACGGUUCAUGAUUCUGUCACCAAUUCGUGAAUUUCAGAACUUUUGAUCCAUGUGAGCUUAAACUUCGCUAAUUUACCUAUUGCCUAAUGCCUACCUUUGCCAACAUAAGAGUCCGUAACAUGUUACUGCAAUCGUGCUGGCAAACUCCAAUAUUUCACUAACUUUUUAUCUGCUUGUGUGUAUAUCUUCACAAAAUUACAAAACAUCAUUUCUAACUGACGCCAUUUGUUUAAAUGCAUGGGUCUUAUAUUGGUAGCUGUACUGUAAAUUUCAUCUUACCUGGUAAGUGAUUUGAAAUUACUCUUCAGUUUGAAUAGCAAUGUAAUAUUUGCAAUUGCACUUGUCAGGCUUUCACAGCAGUUAGAUUUUUUUAUUGAUAUGUGCACACCUCCAUCUAAGUUUUUAUCUCACUGAUUACCAGAUAAAAAAUUUAUAAGUGACUCUUAUAUGUAUCCUGCUUUCAAAACGGUAAGCCCAUCAAUCCAUCUAUGAUCUAUUAAUACAAUGAUACGCAGCUCUCCUGCGUGUUCGAGAAGGAAAAAGCCCAUCAAUCCAGCUUUUGUUUAUAGGCAUCUUUGUAUGAUUUCUAUGUUUAUUGUUGGCAGGUAGGUUAGCCAAUCAUGAAAUGGAUGUCCUUUCUCAAAAUAUGGGUGAAAUGGGUUCUACCUUAAUUACAUAAACCAUUAUUGGUACCAGAACUGAUAAUUCACUCACAUCAUGAUAAAAAAAGGCCCUCAGGUUAGAGGAUAAAAAAAUCUGGACUAAUGAAGCCAUUGCUAGGUAUGUCUAUCUGAGACGCUGAGAUACAACAGAAAUGGAAAUAAAAGACAAGGAGAAUGAUUUGACAAUAUUCAAUAGUUUACAUGUUGUUUUGCUAAGUUGUUCUUUCAUAACGGAUAAGAUCCACUUUUGAUUGCGUUCUGGACUUUGCUAGUUAAUAUAAUGCACCCAAAGUUGCUUUAUCAUGUCAAAUCUUUGUGAGCACUGUAGGCACUGCUAUGGAAGUCAACAAUUGUUGUUUAUCUGAUCCUGAUGUGAUGCACAAAGAAGGUUUAAUUCAGACCCAAUAAACCAAAAGGGCAUUUGAUGUGAAAUGGUGUCUCAUUCAGUGAAAACGAUGGUACUGCUGGAACCAAAAUCUACCAUAUCUGCCAAGUUACUCCUGUAAUCUUGUUAAGGAUCAUUUUUCUCUUGUUGAUGCAUUGAAUUUGCUGCUAGGAGUUACUGCUGUUUCUUUUCUUAAACUACAAUGAGGUGAAAUUUGAAAUGGAAAGUAGUAAUCAGCUCUAGGAUCUGGUAUACUCUCUCCUCCAAAGUAUAGGUUCAUUUUGCUGUAAUGGUUGUUUUAGAAGCCAGCUAUUUCAAGUAGUGCUUCUCUAGAAUAUAUUAUUAUUUUGAAAAAUUGAGAUUUCCUCCUUCAUAUAGAAAUUAAGCCAUGACUAAACUUAGUAGUUUACCUGUUGUUUAUUUCUAAAUUAUGAUAUCCUGUGAGUUCUAAAUGGUGCCUAAAUUUAGUGGUUUGCCUAGUAUUUCUUUCUGCCUUUACCCAUGCUUUUGGAUUUGAUUAAAUCAUUAUAGUAAUUCAAUUAAUACGCUAACAGCUUGCUCCAUCCUAUUAUUAUCUUCUUAAAUAUUAUUCUUCCCUUUUGCAGCACUGCACUGGAAUUUCUUAGGGGCAAUGAUUUAUCGUUCUAUAGACUGUAAAAAGACAGAAUGGAGAGUGAUUUGACUUUUAACUAGGUAAUAGUCUGUUUUUUUUUUGUUAUGCAGACAUAAUAUGGUGUGCCACGUUCCCUACUCCUAAAAAGGGAAAUAAAUGAGUCAAACAAGUCUGUAGAAACAUAAUGUGCCUUUAUUCUGAUGAGCUUACUAAAGAUGUGGUGGAUUGACAGUCCACCAACUCACCAACCAUAGUUUCUGCCCAUAGUUUUCUUUACAAGAAUCCUGCCCAUGGUUUCCUUGUUCACUUUCACUAUGUACUAUGUGGUUUCUUUUAUGCGAAGCGUCUUGAUAACAACUAAUCUGCCACAAGCUGAACUUUGGGCCAGCAAACAUUAUACUAGUUAUGUUUAUGUGUGUCUUUAGCCCAAAGGAAAAGGAUGAUGGGUGCUUAUCCUUAAACUUGUCUGAUGUCCAUGUUAUUGCAACUUCACAACCCAGUUCCUUUAUUUUCAUUUGCUCUCUCUUCUGUUGAUUCAAUGUAUUUUCGACUAUCUCUUUUUCUAACUUGAUUAUGGAUGGUAUUUUGCCACCGUGCUAAUGUUCUAUCUUUUUCUCUUCUGAGAGGAGGCUAAUGUUCUGUCUCGAUUUUACCUCACUUCAUGUUCCAAGAGAAUCGAACAGAAUUGGCACGAACAUGAGCACUCCAUAUUUUGGUUUGACUUUUUGUUUCAUUUUUUUAUGGUGCACUUGGCUGGGCUUUCUUCAAGAGCAGCAUUAGCACGAACCCAACACAUACAUAAUUUUGAUCGUAACAUGUUGUAUGCAUAUCUCUGAGACAACAGGCUACACUUUAGAUACUUUCUUCUCCAGGAUUGAUCAAAUGAAACUGAAAUGGGAAAAUGAGAGCCUACUGCUUCACUUUGAUCCAGCAAUUAUUUCUGGAUUAUACAAAGUAGUUGGUAGUGGAGCUAAAUAAAGCUUGAGAAUGACAGCUCUGCCCAUUGUAUCCUCUAGAUAAAAGAAAAAAAAGGUCUAGCAUAUUGUGUCAUUUUUCAAUUUGUAUCACUCAAGAAUAACUUUUAUAGAACUGCUACUAGAACUUUUCUUAUGGCAGUUUUACUUGCAUGAUAGUUGGGUAGCUAGUUCUGUAAUAAUUUAAGCUUAAUAGAAAGAAUCAUUAAGGGGUUCUUAAAAAUCUUGAGACUAUAUGGUAUUUGUAAGUAUGUAACUACAUAAUUUGUCGCACUCUGGAUUGAAGUACUGAAGCUGGCAACCAAAAUAGAUAGCUUGGUUUCGAGUAUCUUCUGUACAUCAAUUUUUUUUUUUGAAGCUAUACAUCAACUUCUUUUGGCCAAACCACAAAAAACUAGGCGACAAAUUUGUUGGUCCACAAGACAAGCUUGUGAUGAGAGUUGUCACACCAUACAUGCCUCUUGUCUUAUAUACAGAUGGUAUAACUUAGAUGGGAAUACGAAACAAAGAUGAAUCAUACAAGAAGUUAUUUCGUUCUCUAUUUGUGGCAAAAGAAGGUAAAAAAUUAAAUUACUUAGAGCAUCUCCAAGAGUUGCUAAUAUUUUCUCCUCAAAUUUUAUUGUUUGGCAACUCUCCAAAUAGGUAUGGGAAGGUAAAAAAGAGUCCAUCUCCAAUAGUUUCCUAUUUUUAUCUUCAAAAAUGAGAAGUUGUGGCCCCACAACAAUAAUUUCUCGAGAACUUUCAUGGUUGCCGGACAUGGCUGGUAGACAGAAGCUUCUUGCAAGUCAGAUUGCCGGCGAUUUAGUGGACGAGAGGGCUUCAAAUUUGGGACAACAGAAAGAGCACGACGAGGGGGUUCCGUUUUACUUCUUAUAAACAUCGUGGCUGCCGGAAUUGGUGCGUCCAAGAAAGAGGCGGCCCCUACAGAGUACAUAGUGGCCGUGAGCUGUGCAUCAUUCUUCUACAUGUGCAUGCGUUACCAAGAGGAGGAGGGCAGGCCGGCCAGGAGCAGGGCGUCCACAGCAGGCCGGCGGACAGGGCAGGGCGGCCAGGCGCAGGGCAACGGUGGCGGCGGCCAGCGCGUGGGAAGAAGGCGCAACGAGAAAAAACCAGCGGAAGUCGGAUGGGAAACGAUGGAAGGAGUGCAUAUAUUUACGCACACAUCCACCCAAUUUGCCAAUUGUUAGAAGAUGAGAAAGUGUUUUUUUCUGUUUUUUUUUUCAAAAAAAUAAAGAUGGGGAAGAGAGAUGGGAACUGUUGCAGAUGCUCUUAGUAACCUUGAUGUCAGUAAGUGUGUGCCUAGGUUGCAUUUUUCUAGUGAAUCUUUCUUUAAACCAUGAUAGACUGAAGCUGGAAGGGUCCAUUGCACUUUGUUUUUA